AACAAUUUACUGUUGAUGGACACAGCAAGGUGAGAAUUUUGAGAUUCAAACAGCAGAUAAUAUAAGCCAAAGUUUUCUUUCUAUGGAAAAGUUGAUGCGCCUUUUAAGAAGUGAACAACCAAGUUAUUUGCCUGGAAAAGUCUCCUGAAAUACUGAAGUUAUGCUAAAGAAGGAGAAGAGAAAGGAAGCUGCAGUCCCUCUAUAACUCCUAAAUUUUUAAUUUGGAGUUCCUCUUCUUCGGUGCAACAAUCUUUCUGCAUGCACAGAUCCAUGUGGCACUCAUCUCAUCAUUCUGAGGGAAGAAAGAUGCAUGGGGAAUGUUGCAUGUGGUUAUUUCUAUUUCUCUCAAGUGCACAUUAUCCAUCAAGAAGAUUUAAAUCAUUUUGAAAUAUUUAUAUAAUGAUCAAAAAUUAACUUUUAUACAUGUUAUUAGGUAGGUUAUUGUAAUAACUAUUACUAUAAUUAAUAUAGGCGAGUUUGUUUUGCCAAAACUCUUCAAAUGAGAUCUAGAAUUAGAAAUGACUUUUUUCCUUACAUCUUGGGCAGAACCCACAGAAAACAAUAAAGCAGGAGAGAAAAGAGGAUGGCAGUUUACUCAGGAAACAUAGGUUGUGCAAAGCUUUGCAAUGAUACUCUCAAUUCAGAGCAAUGAAGAACAGAAUUCUGUCUUCCCAUAAUGAUGGCAUUCAAUUAUCACUAGACUUACAAGACUACAGAAAAUUUCUCAAGAACCAGUAAGGAUCAGACAGAGCCAAUGACAAUACUGAAGAAGCUUGCCAGUGGAGAAUGAAAGCUCAGUUACACAAAUUACGUUGUUGAACCAGUGCCAGAAAUAAAAUGUGAUGGACAAACUCAUUAAUUAUGAGUGUGAACCAGACAAAACUGAGAAUAAGGUGGGAAUUCCUUCAUAAUCUGUCCCUACUUAGUUGCACCAUAAACAUAAAUGUUGUAAGAGGCAAAAGAGUGGUAAAAAGCUCAUUAACACUGAGAUUAUUCUUGUUAAUUCAUCUGAAUGAGACCUUAACGUACAAAAUAACUUGAAUUACAGAAAACGUUGAAAAGUUGUAUUUCUUGCACAUCUAAGAUUGACAGGGAGAUAUAUGUGUGAAUUGUCACGAAACGCCAUCUUCAAGAUGUCAUCACAAUCAAUCUGUAGAUUAAGGUCAGCCAAUAUAAUAUUCCAACCUGAGCCUUUGAAAACUGAACAGGAGUGAGUAUAAUAAUCUCUAGAAAAGCAUCAGUUAAGAUUCUAGCUUGGCCAUCUCCAUCAUCUGUGUCCUUUAUUUCUGCUAACCUUCAAGUUUUCUAUAUAUGACAUUAUCUUUCCAGUCUCCUCGGAAAAAUCGCUCUUCACUUCAAUUAGUUUGAAUCAGUUUAUUUUGCUUUCCACCAAGAGCUGAAAUUUUUCUAAACCUGCACACUCACUUAUGAAGUCCCUAGAGAUUACACGUUACUUGUGUUCCUUAGUCUUCAUUCCUUGUUCUUAUCUUGUUUACUCUUCUAUGCAUCAAUUCUGUGAGAGCCAAAACCAAUUUUUAUGCGUGUAAAAGGGAAAAAAACAUAUGUGCAUAACUAAUGACUUCUGAAAUUUAUUAUGACAAGAACCCUCCCACUCAGAAGAAUUAUGAAGGCUUGUUGUAAAAAAUAAGAAAAUAAGUCUUUGAUAAUGAAAGACAACAAAUAGGUUGCUUGGACUUCAGAAUUUUAUUCUAAAUAAACCUUCUAAAUUGAACUUACUACCCCAAACCUUGCCUCAAUCCGCCUGUGAUAGUAAGGUAAGAUUUAUUCAAUUCACCAAGUCAGCUAAGAUCAGGUUAACUCUUGCCUUCUCAAAGUGUCCCACUAUCAAGAUAUCCAAGGUAAUCACACCUCUCCUGCAACAAAAAUUUAUAAAUACAGCAAGAAUGGUAU